AGUGAACGCUGGCGGCGUGCUUAACACAUGCAAGUCGAACGAGAACGGAUUAUAGCUUGCUAUAAUUGUCAGCUAAGUGGCGCACGGGUGAGUAAUGUAUAGGUAAUAUGCCUCUUACUAAGGGAUAACAAAUGGAAACGUUUGCUAAUACCUUAUACUCCUUAUUAACAGAAGUUAAUAAGGGAAAGAUUUAUUGGUAAGAGAUUAGCCUGUAUUGUAUCAGUUAGUUGGUGGGGUAAUGGCUUACCAAGACUAUGACACAUAACUGGUUUGAGCGGAUGUUCAGUCACACUGGAACUGAGACACGGUCCAGACUCCUACGGGAGGCAGCAGUGGGGAAUAUUGCACAAUGGACGAAAGUCUUAUGCAGCAACGCCGCGUGGAGGAUGACACAUUUCGGUGCGUAAACUCCUUUUAUAUGAGAAGAUAAUGACGGUAUUAUAUGAAUAAGCACCGGCUAACUCCGUGCCAGCAGCCGCAGUAA
rnacentral:rRNA from 1 species